rnacentral:rRNA from 1 species
AACGAACGCUGGCGGCAGGCUUAACACAUGCAAGUCGAACGCCCCGCAAGGGGAGUGGCAGACGGGUGAGUAACGCGUGGGAACAUACCCUUUUCUACGGAAUAGCUCUUGGAAACUUGAAUUAAUACCGUAUACGCCCUACGGGGGAAAGAUUUAUCGGGGAAGGAUUGGCCCGCGUUGGAUUAGCUAGUUGGUGGGGUAAAGGCCUACCAAGGCGACGAUCCAUAGCUGGUCUGAGAGGAUGAUCAGCCACAUUGGGACUGAGACACGGCCCAAACUCCAAAGGGAGGAAGAAGUGGGGAAUAUUGGACAAUAGGCGCAAGACUGAUCCAGCCAUGCAGCGUGAGUGAUGAAGGCCUGAGGGUUGUAAAGCUCUUUCACCGAUGAAGAUAAUGACGUUAGUCGGAGAAGAAGCCCCGGAUAACUUCGUG